GUAGACAGUACCGAGCCCUCCUUUGCCAAGAAUACGGAUUUCGCUGAAUUUAUCUGUGGCCUUCUCCAAUUCCUCGAUUCUGAAAAGUUUCAAUUCAGGUAAUACACCUCCCUUAGUUGAAUUUGAAGAAGAUAUCUGCUGUUGGAGUAGCAAACCCCCAUUUCUCUUGAAACAUCUCUGCUUGGUUGUCCUAUCAUUUAUCUUUUGAAUCUUUCGCCAAAUCCAAAGACUAAUAGCCACUAGAACGAGAAUACCUACAGCUAGGCCAAUUCCUGUUUGUGCAUAUAAUAACUAAAGUCAACAGCGAUUUGAGAAUGUGUGUGAAAGACGAACAAAAUAGAGCAAGUGUGUGGAAGUACUUACCUAAGGCAAUGAGCACUGGAAACCUGUUUCUACGAUGAUAAGGCGAGCAGUAGUAACCGCCUGCAGUAUUAACACAAAGGUCGUUCUUUGGGCAUGUGUUCUUAUACUUUGCUUCUCCACACUCAUCAAUGUCUGAAAAAUUCAAAUGAACAUGUAUGGUUACAUUGAUUAGUUCUAAUCUUGGAAUCUUUUCCAGUCUUAUGACCGAAAAAAAAUAAAAAAUAAAAAAUAAAAAAAAUCAUCACCUUGGCAUCCUUGUAGAAGAUAAGGGUUACCUCGGUAACCUUUGCUGCAUUUGCAUCUGUAUGACAUGCCUGGUUUAUAGUCAAUGCACUCUGUGUUCUGUCCACAUGCAUAGUCUACUCUUCCCGUUGCUUUACUGCAGCUUGUAUUCCCAACUGCCCAUUCAUACAUUAGUGGGACGUGGUACCUUUGAUUACAAUCAGAGAACAUACUCUUGUUGAGUGCAAAAUCCUUGUCCACGAUUGCGAAAAACCCACAAUGAUAUGCCCAUGAUUUUGUCAUGGUAUUCAUUGUCUCGAACCAUAAAUAUAAAUCUGUUGGAUCUUUUGGUAAAUUGAUUUGGCAGCACUGCAGGCCCGAACAAGAUGAAGAAGGCGAAGGGAGUAUGUCAGUGCGGUUGCAAAAAGGUGCACACCCUCCCACAAAGUUUUUAGUUUGUCUAUCAAUUAUGUAUGCAUAGAAAUCACACCCCAUUGCAACGAACUUAUUUCUGGUGUGAGAUAUAUAGAAAUUAUUGUGGAGAUCACCAAUCAUCAAAGUAUGGCCGUACUGUGUUUCUCCCGACUUGUCAAAUUUCAAAGCUACAACCAUAGAUUUUUUAUAUUGCAGGCUAUGAGUUGAGAUAGAGAUGUCGACCGUACCGUUGGACCAAAUUAGCGAACCAGUUGUCUUGUUGCACGUGACUUUAAAUGCUUCGUCGAUGUAGCAUCCCUUGUCCGUGCCAAAUGGAUAAGGAAUUUCCAGUUUGCCACA
rnacentral:lncRNA from 1 species